AACGCCUAGAGAAGUUUUAUUAUUUGAUUCUUGUAACGAUGCAACGUUUAAGGGGCUAUUCGAGCUUUGGAACAACCUGCUUGUUUUUACCAAGUUCCAAAGUGGGCUUGAGGUAUCUUUAAGCUUAGGGAAUAGAUUAAGUGGCUCUUCUUUUGAACUUGUUCGGUCAUAAGGCAUCAGUGUCAGUGUUUGUGAUUCCCUUAAUAGUUCACGGUAAUCACUGUUAUUGUCCAAAUCAAUUUUUAAAUUCCAAUACUUAUCACCCAACGUCGACACUGAACUAAUGCUAUCGUACGGCGGCAAAAGUAUAGGCGCUUCUAGUUUUUGAACUGCGCCGCUUUUUUGAACAACAUUUAAUGGCACUAUGCAUGGCUGUUUGGUAUCUUGAUUUCUCGGGAUAAUACAACGUUCUUCCACAGCUAAAGCCCACAAAUUUCGAGCAGCUUGCAAAUGUGCACGAUUAUCUUGAGUAGUCCUGGGAAAUUGCGGAUAAAAUGAUAUUAACAAAGCCGCGAUUGCUAAAUUACUGCGAGACAAACUAUACCUUCCUCCACCUAGCGAAAGAAUUCCGAGCGCCAUAUGAGUAGCCAUUUGAGCCCCGUAGUUCACAGGCUCCAUUCUCCCAUGUAGUACUCUUAACCUUCUCAAAACAUCUAGAUCACAAUAACCCGCCAUAACACAAGAAGAAGACAAAGCGACAAUUUGUGUACAGCGAAUUACAGUCACUGCAGUUACUCUUUCAUCGUGUGUUUUAGCAGGCAGAUGACACAACCGAAUGAAGCUAUCUAAAAAGUUGAUGAGAAUUUCCUUGGCUUUCGGAUUACCCGUUCCAGCAAACCUUAAACCUAAAGAAAAACAAAUCCCUGCUAAGACAUUAUAAAGCAGCAAGUCGUCAGAAGAGAGAACCUUUUUUUCCUGUAAAUCAAAUUGUGAGAGCAUUAUAUCAGGAAUUUGAUAUUUCACCCAUUCAUAAUCUGCUUUGACUUCAUCCCACAUAAUUAAGUUUUUACCGGCAACUCGCAAAAGUAUUAGAUCUGGACGAUAGAAAUCAAGAAGAUAUCGCGAUUUAGGAAUAUCAAUUUUUUUCGCAACUUCCAAAUCAUUAGUCUUCAUAUAUAUCAUAGUCAAAGCCAUAAUGGCCCCGGGAGAACCGGCUUCUAAAGACUGAAAUGUAGCCUGACUAGAUAUUCCCACUUGUAGCCUUGAAACGAGUUUUAAAUCAGACAUGCCUGGAAGAUUAGAUCCUCUCCCUAAAUUAAUUAAACCAAGAGAAAAUCCAGCAGCUAACUUAUAGCCUUCAUUCUUUAGUUCGCUUUCAUUAGAAGCCAAAAUCUCUUCCAUGGUCACUUCAGACAUGCGUCUAUGACACGAAUCAUGAAAUAAUAAACCAAUUCCUAGAAUUCCUGCAGUCUGAGUUAAUGGUGAAAUAUUCAAUUCAUUAGAUCCAACUGGCAGUAAUGCUGAAAUGUGCACACUUAGCAAUUUUGUAACCUUUGCAUCCAUACUCCCCAAAUACGAGGAUGCAAGUCCAAGUAAAAGGCCUAUACUGGUUGUAUCAUGCUUGCUAGUAAGAUAAAUAAAAGAAUGCCAGGUAGCAAGGGCCUUUAAAUGACCGUUUAGCCCUAGACCAAAAAGAAAUCCCGCAUGGUAAGCAGUCAAAGUUUCAGGUCGAUUGAACAUAAUCCAACUAGUGUUUAUUUCCUUUGAAAACUUAGAUAUCGAUAAUCCUAAUGCAACGCCAACAUUAAACUCUGGCCACUCGGUUAAUUCCUGUGUUACGAACUCUUUAUUAGGUUGUAUAAUUAAAGUUCCAGGAUGCAAGUGCAAUGUAAAAUUAAAUAAUCGUGGAGUGACCUUUUCCGUAGGUAAAGGAUUUUUACUACCAUACGUAAGCAUACCCGCUCCAAUUGGCACGGACAAUGUUCUAACGCAAAUGCAUUGAGCAACUUUUUGUUGCAUUGGUACUGAACUCAAGUCGACAUCAAAGUGUUCAGUCAUUAUGGUGAUUUGACUUGAAUAAUUUAAAAGUUUAUUCACUUCUGCCAGUCGUCGAUCCUCUCUAAAAAUCAUAUCCGUUACAACCUUAUAAGGAUGAAACGACUGCGUGUCAACAAGUGUAGAAUCGGUAACUGUACUAGUGAGUGCUUUUAUUUCUUUGACUUCUUGAUCCUGCUUAUUAAAAACCCAUUUAGGUGUCUUUGGAUGUAAGAAUGAAUCAACGUCAAGGCGAUUGACUAAUCGAAGCUCUUCGCUUUCCCAAUUCGGAGAAUACUCUUCAGCGGCAAUCUCGAGUACUGUAAAAAUAAUGCAUAAAAUUCCAAAUGGGUAUCUUUCACACCUCUUUCUUGAAAUUCCUAACCGUACCAUUUCUUCAACUAAGUUUUGAAGGGUCAUAUUAGGAUUUAGCAAGCAAUCGAGUAACUGCAUUAAAGAAAGGGUUUGGGGAAACAUAGUAGAGCAAGAAUGUGGUAGCCCAUAACUUUCCAAGCCAUAAAAAGGUACUGUAGAUUGCGACCUUAAACAUUCAAUAAUCCACUGUAAAAUCGA